rnacentral:lncRNA from 1 species
GUCAUGAAAUAUUAGUAGUAAAUGAAACCAGGCAUGCAAAAAGUAAUGUCCUGAAUGUUUUAACAUUUGACAGGUAACAAGGCGGACAAGAAAUCCACCACCAAGCAACCUCAGAGUCCUAAGGAGCAGCCGAAGAAAGGUGAUCAGAAAGGAGAUGAUGCCAAAAAGCAAGGAGGACAGCCGAAGGGAGAGAAGCAAUAAUUUCCAGGCCUUCGUGAAGCUGGCUCUGGAGACUCUCCU